rnacentral:rRNA from 1 species
UACGUAGGGAGCGAGCGUUGUCCGGAUUUAUUGGGCGUAAAGAGCGUGUAGGCGGCCAUACAGGUCAGCUGUGAAAACUCGAGGCUCAACCUCGAGACGUCGGUUGAAACCGUAUGGCUAGAGUCCGGAAGAGGAGAGUGGAAUUCCCGGUGUAGCGGUGAAAUGCGCAGAUAUCGGGAAGAACACCCGUGGCGAAGGCGGCUCUCUGGGACGGUACUGACGCUGAGACGCGAAAGCGUGGGGAGCGAACAGG